UGGAGGCAGCAGUGAGGAAUAUUGGUCAAUGGGCGGAAGCCUGAACCAGCCAUCCCGCGUGCAGGAUGACAGCCCUAGAGGUUGUAAACUGCUUUUCUUCAGGAAGAAUAAGGACUACGUGUAGUUCGAUGACUGUACUGGGGGAAUAAGCAUCGGCUAACUCCGUGCCAGCAGCCGCGGUAAUACGGAGGAUGCAAGCGUUAUCCGGAUUUAUUAGGUUUAAAGGGUGCGUAGGCGGAAGCUUAAGUCAGUGGUAAAAGGCAAUAGCUUAACUACUGUAAGCCAUUGAUACUGGGUUUCUUGAGUACGGUAGAGGUAGGCGGAAUGUGUUGUGUAGCGGUGAAAUGCAUAGAUAUAACACAGAACACCGAUUGCGAAGGCAGCUUACUAUGCCGUUACUGACGCUGAUGCACGAAAGCGUGGGGAUCAAACAGGAUUAGAUACCCCGGU
rnacentral:rRNA from 1 species